rnacentral:rRNA from 1 species
GAUGAACGCUGGCGGCGUGCUUAACACAUGCAAGUCGAACGGAAAGGCCGAAGCUUGCUUCGGUACUCGAGUGGCGAACGGGUGAGUAACACGUGGGUGAUCUGCCCUGUACUUCGGGAUAAGCUUGGGAAACUGGGUCUAAUACCGGAUAUGACAAUCUCUUGGAUGGGGUUGUGGAAAGCUUUUGCGGUAUGGGAUGAGCUCGCGGCCUAUCAGCUUGUUGGUGGGGUAAUGGCCUACCAAGGCGUCGACGGGUAGCCGGCCUGAGAGGGUGUACGGCCACAUUGGGACUGAGAUACGGCCCAGACUCCUACGGGAGGCAGCAGUGGGGAAUAUUGCACAAUGGGCGCAAGCCGGAUGCAGCGACGCCGCGUGGGGGAUGACGGCCUUCGGGUUGUAAACUCCUUUCGCAACCGACGAAGCUUUUUGUGACGGUAGGUUGAGAAGAAGCACCGGCUAACUACGUG